CACACGACUCUCGGCAACGGAUAUCUCGGCUCUCGCAUCGAUGAAGAACGUAGCGAAAUGCGAUACCUGGUGUGAAUUGCAGAAUCCCGCGAACCAUCGAGUCUUUGAACGCAAGUUGCGCCCGAGGCCACUUGGCYGAGGGCACGCCUGCCUGGGCGUCACGC
rnacentral:rRNA from 4 species